UACGUAGGUGGCAAGCGUUAUCCGGAUUUAUUGGGCGUAAAGCGAGCGCAGGCGGUCUUUUAAGUCUGAUGUGAAAGCCUUCGGCUUAACCGGAGUAGUGCAUUGGAAACUGGGAGACUUGAGUGCAGGAGAGGAAAGGGGAAUUCCCAGUGUAGCGGUGAAAUGCGUAGAUAUUGGGAGGAACACCAGUGGCGAAGGCGCCUUUCUGGUCUGUAACUGACGCUGAGGUUCGAAAGCGUGGGUAGCAAACAGG
rnacentral:rRNA from 1 species